AGUUUUCACCUACACAUACCACUAAAAUUAGAACAAUGCAAAGAUUAGCAUGGCCCUGCAGAAGGAUAACAUGCAAAUUCAUGAAACAUUCCAUAUCAUU
ensembl:snRNA U6 U6 spliceosomal RNA